UUUUUUUUGUUCUGCUCAUCACAGUCCUUGUUUUCAUCGUGUACAAGAUUACAGUUGACGAAAGCAAUCAAAAGAAAGACUUGGAGACUUUGAAGUACUCCCCCAUCGCUGCACUGGUUCUUGCUCUCAUCCUUUGUUGUUUAACUGGAGUUCACUUUUAUAAAACAAAUACUGGUAAGCAAACAAAACAUUUAACUCAAAUCUUCACAUUAUAUACAUUAUAUAAAUACAACCUCAGGUCAGUGCAAAAAUUAAAAAGAGACCUCAAAAUAAUACAGAGGAAACCCCUAAAAUCUGUCGACAACCUAUGAAUAAGCAUUUGGUGGCAUUGGGAAGAAAAA